rnacentral:rRNA from 1 species
UACGUAGGGUGCGAGCGUUGUCCGGAAUUAUUGGGCGUAAAGAGCUCGUAGGCGGUUUGUCGCGUCGAAUGUGAAAACCCGGGGCUCAACCUCGGGCCUGCAGUCGAUACGGGCAAACUAGAGUACUGCAGGGGAGACUGGAAUUCCUGGUGUAGCGGUGAAAUGCGCAGAUAUCAGGAGGAACACCGGUGGCGAAGGCGGGUCUCUGGGCAGUAACUGACGCUGAGGAGCGAAAGCGUGGGGAGCGAACAGG